ACAGCUUCCGCAGCCCUCGCUGCCGGCCGCCCCCGCCACACCUCACCUCAUACCCCGAGAGAAGGAGCGCCAGCCACGCCCACGCCCCGGGGCAGCGCCGAGUGCAUCUCCAGCCGCUAUAAAUGUGCUGCCCGACUGCCGAGGGGCAUCAGUCGAAUCGAAGCGGCACUAUGAAGACCCUCGUGUUCCUGUUUGUGGUGCUGGCCGUGGUCUGCGCGGCUCUGGCUGUGCCCGGCCCUCUGCCCCUACCACGUCCUGGCCCAGUGCCGAUCCCUGCUGCGCCCAGGGAGACCCUGCGUGGCAGCGAGCAGGUCUACUACGGUGUUUACUACCCGUAUGUCGUCUGAUGACCUGACACUGUACUCCAGCAUCCUCCAGUGACGGCACUACCGACCUGGCACCGACAAGGACAUCCCCUCUAAAGCUCCUGGCCAAAAUGUGUUUUCUGUAUACUUUGUCUGCACUCCUACUUGUCAAUAAACAUUAUUCUAUCUACUGA